rnacentral:lncRNA from 1 species
UACAGAAGGAAACAAAAAUGAACGGACCUGGAUCUUACAAGUUGAAAGUACUGAAGAGUUUGAUGUGUAACCAGCUGGACUAACCUAAUAGUACAGCAACAAAAAAUAACUGUAGCAGCAUCUAGAAAAAGAGCAACAAAAUAGUUCCAACCACAUCCAGAAUAACUUUAAAGGUGUUUGUAGUAACAUCCAAGAAGCAGCAGCAUAAGUGGCUUCAAUUGCAUCCAGAAACAUCAGCAGAAAGUGGAUCCAGUCAGUGGAUCCAGACGCAAUCCAAAAUAGUAGCAAACGACCUUUCACUGUCGAGUCGCGACCGAACCAAUAAAUAACAUUCAAUCGAAGUAUCUUUUUUUAAUUGACUUACCUUGUUGCAAGCUUGCUCUUUGAUUAUUCAAACGUGGAAGACUGAACCUUGUUC